GUGAUUCCGUCCUGUGCACCUGUUCCCUGGAGCAGUAGUCUUUUUUCUCCGUCCGCCUUCUCUCCCACCUAAGUAUGUGCCACCAACCCAUGGAAGAUUCGAUGGACAUGGACAUGAGCCCCCUGAGGCCCCAGAACUAUCUUUUCUGUUGUGAACUAAAGGCCGACAAAGAUUAUCACUUUAAGGUGGAUAAUGAUGAAAAUGGGCACCACCCCGGGCACCAGUUAUCUUUAAGAACGGUCAGUUUAGGGGCUGGCACAAAGGAUGAACUGCACAUUGUCGAAGCAGAGGCGAUGAAUUAUGAAGGCAGUCCAAUCAAAGUAACACUGGCAACUUUGAAAAUGUCUGUGCAGCCAACGGAUUUCCUUGGGGGCUUUGAAACAACACCACCUGUGGUCUGAUGGUUGAAGUGUGGUUCAGGGCCUGUGCAUAUUAGUGGACAGCACUUAGUAGCUGUGGAGGAAGAUGCAGAGUCAGAAGACAAAGAGGAGGAGGGUGUGACACUCCUAAGUAUGUCUGGAAAGCAUUCUGCCCCUGGAAGCGGUAGCAAGCUUCCACAGAAAAAAGUAAAACUUGCUGCUGAUGAAGAUGAAGAUGAUGAUGAAGAUGACAAUGAAGAUGAUGACUCUGAUGAUGAGGAAGCUGAAGAAAAAGCUCCAGUAAAGAAAUCUCCAUCAACACCAAGAUCAAAAGGUCAAGAAUCCUUCAAAAAACAGGAAAAAACUCCUAGAACACCGAAAGGACCUAGCUCUUAGAAGACAUUAAAGCAAAAAUGCAAGCAAGUAUAGAAAAAGGUGGUUCCCUUCCCAAAGUGGAAGCCAAAUUCAUCAAUUAUGUGAAGAACUGUUUCCGGAUGACUGACCAGGAGGCUAUUCAAGAUCUCUGGCAGUGGAGGAAGUCUCUUUAA